rnacentral:lncRNA from 1 species
GCUGAUCGUGGCUGGGUCAUUUACUCAGUGUCACGCGUUAGGGCCUCAGUCAAGCCAGGAUUUGAACCUAGGCCCUGGACUCCAAGCCUUCCCUUCUGACCUCUUCAUACCUGUGUCCAUGGGUGUCCAGGUAGCAGAGGAGCCACAGCCUGUAACCUCGUGAGUCUGGCAUGCAAGAUGGCAGGACAGCCCAGCCACAUGCCUCAUGGAGGGAGCCCAAACCACCUCUGCCACGUGCUGGGGCCUGCACACCCUCCGGACCCACAGAGGCACCCAAACACCCUGUCUUUUCGCUGCUCACUGGCAGACUUCCAAAUCGAGAAGAAGAUUGGCCGAGGACAGUUCAGUGAGGUCUACAAAGCCACCUGCCUGCUGGACAGGAAGACAGUGGCUCUGAAGAAGGUGCAGAUUUUUGAGAUGAUGGAUGCCAAAGCCAGACAGGACUGUGUCAAAGAAAUUGGUCUCCUAAAGCAACUGAACCAUCCAAACAUCA